rnacentral:rRNA from 1 species
UACGUAGGGUGCGAGCGUUAAUCGGAAUUACUGGGCGUAAAGCGUGCGCAGGCGGUUUGUAAGCCAGAUGUGAAAUCCCCGGGCUUAACCUGGGAAUGGCAUUUGGGACUGCAAGGCUGGAGUGUGGCAGAGGAGACUGGAAUUCCUGGUGUAGCAGUGAAAUGCGUAGAUAUCAGGAGGAAUACCGAUGGCGAAGGCAGGUCUCUGGGCUGACACUGACGCUCAUGCACGAAAGCGUGGGGAGCGAAA